AAUUGAAAAGGAAGUAUUUAAUUCUUCUCAAGUGCCUAAGCAAAAAAAUAGGAAUGAUCAAUAGCUAAAACAUUAAUACACAAAACACUCGCUUCAUGUUUUUCUCUACUAAUGAGUCUAUAUGCAAUACAGAAUAUAGAAGUUGCUAUCUGACAUGCUGAUAAGCUUACAUAUAUAAACAUAUUUAUAAACAUCAUCACUGAUAACAAAAAUUGAAAUUUUAAAAUUUUAUUUCUACUUUCCUUGCAACUCUUUUAGCUCCCUCUACAUACAGAUAACGAGGAUCCAAAAUGAGAACUUUAUGUCUGUUGAAUUAUUAGCUAAGCAUUUCUGCAUGAUGUGGUGCUGCACCUGGGAUGCAUGAUCCAGAUGUUAGCACCCUGCUGCAAAGGAUUAUUAAGAAAACACUGGGGGAGCUGAGUGCCAUGAGAUAGAUGGUCAGCAGCCUGGAUCACACAGCAUAAAGAAGAAAGGGAGCAAGCAACAUUGCCAGCAACAGAACUGUUGGGACAACGCAGCAAAGGGAAGUUGCAGUGUAAGAAAAGAAACAAAGGGAAGAGAGCAGAUACACAGGGAAGCAGGGCUGAGCACUGUGGAAUGGUGUACAGCAAGAUCAAGGAGACUGUGAACCUGUACUAACUGCAGUGCUUGAGAAGUGCUGGUAAGAUGUACUUAGAACUGAAACAUUACAGUGUUAUCGUUGUAUCACUCA